GGUGCUUGCAUCAUGAUUUACAUUUGAGUGAGUGGCGAACUGGUGAGUAACACGUGGGAAACCUGCCCAGAAGCGGGGGAUAACACCUGGAAACAGAUGCUAAUACCGCAUAACAACUUGGACCGCAUGGUCCGAGUUUGAAAGAUGGCUUCGGCUAUCACUUUUGGAUGGUCCCGCGGCGUAUUAGCUAGAUGGUGGGGUAACGGCUCACCAUGGCAAUGAUACGUAGCCGACCUGAGAGGGUAAUCGGCCACAUUGGGACUGAGACACGGCCCAAACUCCUACGGGAGGCAGCAGUAGGGAAUCUUCCACAAUGGACGAAAGUCUGAUGGAGCAACGCCGCGUGAGUGAAGAAGGGUUUCGGCUCGUAAAACUCUGUUGUUAAAGAAGAACAUAUCUGAGAGUAACUGUUCAGGUAUUGACGGUAUUUAACCAGAAAGCCACGGCUAACUACGUGCCAGCAGCCGCGGUAAUACGUAGGUGGCAAGCGUUGUCCGGAUUUAUUGGGCGUAAAGCGAGCGCAGGCGGUUUUUUAAGUCUGAUGUGAAAGCCUUCGGCUCAACCGAAGAAGUGCAUCGGAAACUGGGAAACUUGAGUGCAGAAGAGGACAGUGGAACUCCAUGUGUAGCGGUGAAAUGCGUAGAUAUAUGGAAGAACACCAGUGGCGAAGGCGGCUGUCUGGUCUGUAACUGACGCUGAGGCUCGAAAGUAUGGGUAGCAAACAGGAUUAGAUACCCUGGUAGUCCAUACCGUAAACGAUGAAUGCUAAGUGUUGGAGGGUUUCCGCCCUUCAGUGCUGCAGCUAACGCAUUAAGCAUUCCGCCUGGGGAGUACGGCCGCAAGGCUGAAACUCAAAGGAAUUGACGGGGGCCCGCACAAACGGUGGAGCAUGUGGUUUAAUUCGAAGCUACGCGAAGAACCUUACCAGGUCUUGACAUACUAUGCAAAUCUAAGAAAUUAGACGUUCCCUUCGGGGACUUGGAUACAGGUGGUGCAUG
rnacentral:rRNA from 1 species